rnacentral:lncRNA from 1 species
AGCUGGUACACUGGUCUUCUCUGGCCUUUGGAGUCAGAGUGAACUGGAACUUACUCCAUUGGCUCUCCUGGUUCUCAGUCUUUGGACUCCGACAGGAACUAGACCAUCGGCUCUCCUGGGUCCCCGGCUGACUGACCACAGAUCAUGGAACUCCUCAGCCCCCUAUCCACAUGAGCCAAUUCCUUAUAAUAGAUCUUUGACUUGUUCAGGUUGAUCGAUGUUCAUAGCUGGAUAUCCUCUCCUCUCUGGAUACUUCUGGAGCUGGAAAUAGCUAUGGGAUGCUUUUCUGGAAAAUGCAAUGUGAGUUCAAGUCAGCUGGCUGGGUUUCGGGAAUAAAACCACUUUCCUC